rnacentral:tRNA from 1 species
GGUUGAAUGAGUUUAAAAUAGAAAUGUAUGCCUGGCAAGCAUAGGGUCCUGAGUUCGAUUCCCGGUAACCA